ACGUGCCAGCAGCAGCGGUAAUACGUAGGCGCCAAGCGUUAUCCGGAAUUAUUGGGCGUAAAGCGUCUGUCGGCGGCAAUAUAAGUCUGGUGUGAAAUUUCAAUGCUUAACAUUGAAUGCGUACUGGAAACUAUUUUGCUAGAGUCUAAGAGGGGCCACUGGAAUUUCCGUUGUAGGGGUAAAAUCCGUAGAUAACGGAAGGAACACCAAAAGCGAAAGCAGGUGGCUGGCUUAGUACUGACGCUCAGAGACGAAAGCGUGGGGAGCGAACGGGAUUAGAUACCCCGGUAGUCCACGCCGUAAACUAUGAGUGCUAGAUGUAGGAAGGGCUCGACCCCUUUCUGUGUCUACAGCUAACGCGUUAAGCACUCCGCCUGGGGAGUACGGUCGCAAGACUAAAACUCAAAGGAAUAGACGGGGACCCGCACAAGCGGUGGAUCAUGUGGUUUAAUUCGACGAUAAGCGAGAAACCUCACCUAGACUUGACAUCUCGAGAAGGUUCUAGAAAUAGAACUGUGCCUUUUGGAACUCGAUGACAGGUGCUGCAUGGUUGUCGUCAGCUCGUGCCCUGAGGUGUUCGGUUAAGUCCGUAAACGAGCGCAACCCUUGUCAUAUGUUGUAUUUCUCAUAUGAAACUGCCGGCUCCAAGCCGGAGGAAGGUAGGGAUGACGUCAAAUCAGCAUGGCCCUUAUGUCUAGGGCUACACACGUGAUACAAUGGGUCGUACAAUGGGUAGCCAAGGCGCAAGCCGGAGCCAAUCCCGAAAACGAUCCUCAGUUCGGAUUGAGGUCUGCAAUUCGACCUCAUGAAGUGGAAUCGCUAGUA
rnacentral:rRNA from 1 species